UGCGCAGGCGGUUUUGUAAGUCUGAUGUGAAAUCCCCGGGCUUAACCUGGGAACUGCAUUGGAGACUGCAAGGCUAGAGUGUGUCAGAGGGGGGUAGAAUUCCACGUGUAGCAGUGAAAUGCGUAGAUAUGUGGAGGAAUACCGAUGGCGAAGGCAGCCCCCUGGGAUAACACUGACGCUCAUGCACGAAAGCGUGGGGAGCAAACAGGAUUAGAUACCCUGGUAGUCCACGCCCUAAACGAUGUCAACUAGUUGUCGGGACUUAAUUGUCUUGGUAACGCAGCUAACGCGUGAAGUUGACCGCCUGGGGAGUACGGUCGCAAGAUUAAA
rnacentral:rRNA from 1 species